GCAGAUACAUUCCAGCCAAUCAGCAGCAGACCCUCCCUCCCAGACCCUCCCACCUCCUGGACAGCUCACUAAGAAUGCAGCUUCACAAUGGAUGCUGUCCAGGAGGUGGGAGGGUCUCGGAGGGAGGGUCUGCUGCUGAUUGGCUGGAAUGUGUCUG